rnacentral:rRNA from 1 species
AUUGAACGCUGGCGGCAGGCCUAACACAUGCAAGUCGAGCGGAUGAAGGGAGCUUGCUUCUGGAUUCAGCGGCGGACGGGUGAGUGAUGCCUAGGAAUCUGCUUGGUAGUGGGGGAUAACGUCCGGAAACGGGCGCUAAUACCGCAUACGUCCUGAGGGAGCAAGUGGGGGAUCUUCGGACCUUACGCUAUCAGAUGAGCCUAGGUCGGAUUAGCUAGUUGGUGGGGUAAAGGCCUACCAAGGCGACGAUCCGUAACUGGUCUGAGAGGAUGAUCAGUCACACUGGAACUGAGACACGGUCCAGACUCCUACGGGAGGCAGCAGUGGGGAAUAUUGGACAAUGGGCGGAAGCCUGAUCCAGCCAUGCCGCGUGUGUGAAGAAGGUCUUCGGAUUGUAAAGCACUUUAAGUUGGGAGGAAGGGCAGUAAGUUAAUACCUUGCUGUUUUGACGUUACCAACAGAAUAAGCACCGGCUAACUUCGUG